GUGUCAGCAGCCGCGGUAAUACAGAGGGUGCGAGCGUUGUUCGGAAUUACUGGGCGUAAAGCGCGCGCAGGCGGCCUUUUAAGUCUGCUGGUGAAAUGCCGGGGCUCAACCCCGUGCCCGCCACAGAUACUGGGAGGCUGGAGACGAGUAGAGGCAAGCGGAAUUCCGGGUGUAGCGGUGGAAUGCGUAGAGAUCCGGAAGAACACCGGAGGCGAAGGCGGCUUGCUGGGCUCGGUCUGACGCUGAGGCGCGAAAGCGUGGGGAGCGAACAGGAUUAGAUACCCUCGUAGUCC
rnacentral:rRNA from 1 species